AAAUCGACGGGUGCUACGUGAGUCAAAAACUAGGUGAAAGUAACGUCUGGUAGUGAGUAACUUUGCUAGAAAUACUGAGCAAAACCAGAAACGACAUUUGUGAAGUGGAAGAAGGAAACCGGGGGCCCGUGAGAAAGGAGUUUAUCGAAUUUGGCAGCGUCUUGGUUUGUUGCCAAAAAUCCGGCUUUCUGUAUGAACCUGAAACAUACUAACACCCAUGUGGACAGUGUGUAUGCAAAAGCAACAGAGGAAAUAGCAGGAAAAAAACAAACGUUGUUUGGCCUAACAAGAACCACCCAGUGUUGUGUUCAUACGAUACUGCGGGCUCGACUCUGCCCGUGUCGGGUCUUCUCUGGCUCGGAGCAGUAAGAGAAGCUGUUGAGGAGGCUUGCAGACAGUUGGGCCGUGCUCUGGAGGUGAAGGGCUCCCACCAAGCAGGCCAGAUGUGCUGAUAUGCAGGAGAGCUGCAGCGCACACAGCGAAGAGCAACUGAUAAGGAAACCUCCUGUGUGUGGCCCUUAACACAAGGACAGAAUGGAGGCUUAUCAGACUGCCCUGAUGACGAUCCAACACUGCUCCACCAGCAGCAGAGAUCUUACUGUGGCCCAGCUUUUCUGCUCCAGGUGGUCUGCAGCCAGCCACCUGUGUUGUCUUUGUGACGCUGUCAUCUGUCUCCGGGCAGGCUUUGUGGGGUUGCCAGUGUGAGGACAGGCCUGGUGAGCGCCGAUGAUGGAGAUAGUGCUUUCUGCCGCUGCUUCUCCCAGACUCUCACAGGACUCCAGUGUUGCCGGACACAAGGAGCAAUGUUUACACCCCUAGCCCUCUAGGUCCCAAAGAGGAAUCCUGGGAAAAUGUUUUUUACUGGUCUACAUGUCUGAGUGUUUGUGGAGUGGUGUUUGUAAGAUGGUAGGAGUUAAAGAUGUAGAACAGCGGGUAGAGAGAGGAGCUGACAGGAGCCUUGACUAAGAGUUUAAUGAAUGUACAGCAUUACAUCACAUCUUUCAAGUGUCAUUCCUUCAUACGGUCACGCCGUUACGUGCCAUGCAUGAUUAGAUAGAUAGAUUGUAUAGACAUUUUGAGGGUUUCAUAUGAUAUCAGUCAUUUUUCUGUGUGUAUAAGUAUAUAUUAUACCGUAUAUAUUUUUGUUUUCUUUGCAAAAUAACAAGAUCCGUAAAAAAAAUAUAAUCUGACCCAGAAAUUAGAGACACAAAGGAUCACACUAGGGGCAGUUUCUAGCCCCAAACAACUGCAUUUUUCUUAAUCUCCAACAUGCAGCUAUGGCACCUUUUCGUCUUUCUACCGCAAAAUCUGAAAUUCUCAUCUCAUCUGAUAAAAAGAUGCUCUUGAUGGGUUUGAUUAGAUGUUGUGUACAUAAUAUUUAGGGCAAUAUUGAGUGUCACUCUGCCCACCAGAAAAAAUGGAAAAAUAGAAUAUUAUUAUGGAUCUUACAUGUUUAAAGAGCUUUUUAACCUCACAAAAACAGAACAGCAACAGCAAUUUAUAUUAUAUAUUUUAAAAUGUAUUAUUAUUUUUUUACUAGAAACAUCUGGUGGGCUAAAUCAAACCUUAUGGCGGGCUAACCUCAGCCUACAGGCCCCACUAUAGACGACCCUGUUCUAAACAGUUGGUAUUCUUGCUGGACCAAAUAACUUUAAUGUUGAAUUACUUAUCAUAAUUAUUACUGUUUUUUGGGGUUUUUUUUGCCAGUUGGCUUAACGAUAAAUCAAAUAAUCAUUUCAUCUCUGUACAUUUUUCCGCAGUAUUUUCGAGUUCCUAUCGGUCAAAAUGUGACAUAUAAGAAUGUCGCAUGAGCUAUUUAAGAAGUUGGGGAAAAAAUCCUUUCAAAUAGGCCACAGAAAGGUCAUUUCUUUUAUUUAACUCUUGUAGGAAUUUAAAAAGAAAUUUAAUUUUAUUUAUAGAAUUCAUAGCUUUAUAAUACCAUCAAUUAUGUGAAUCUAUACACAGCCCAGUCAACAUAAAAGUUGCCCAAAUAUUAUGGUACCAAACUGUGUGAGCUAUUUUUAAGGAAGACUUUUAAGAAAAUAUUCAAUAAAUAAACAAAAUAAAUUGAUGACUGCUUGGAAAUCACAGUUGAGGCACUUCUUUAUUUGCCAUUACACCAGUGGAUAUGCUCAACAUCCCUGGACACCGCUCCAUAUUCAGAGUUUUAUUUACUCCUCAUCCGGAGGGGAGAGUGUUGAUAAAUGACGGCGCUGCGCCCUGGGACUCUCCUGUUUAAGGAGCGCCGAGGCGAUUUAUGAGCGUGCUCUCGCAGGCUUCACUGUGAUUAAUCGACGCCGUCCUCCGCGGCCACAG